UACAGAGGUCUCAAGCGUUGUUCGGAUUCAUUGGGCGUAAAGGGUGCGUAGGUGGCGCCGUAAGUCGGGUGUGAAAUUUCGGAGCUUAACUCCGAAACUGCAUUCGAUACUGCGGUGCUUGGGGACUGGAGAGGAGACUGGAAUUCAUGGUGUAGCAGUGAAAUGCGUAGAGAUCAUGAGGAAGACCAGUGGCGAAGGCGGGUCUCUGGACAGUUCCUGACACUGAGGCACGAAGGCCAGGGGAGCAAACGGG
rnacentral:rRNA from 1 species